rnacentral:ncRNA from 1 species
CUGGUUCCGGUUCACGUCGCUGCGCCCGCGCAGCACGACCCGGCGACC